UUUUGGACUUUUUUCUCACAAUGAAGUGAUGAACCCUGUCAACGAAUCGGCGCUGUGGUACAAGGACAUCCAAGGCAGGCGGAUCGAAUCAAAUUUCAUUACGCUCUACAAUCCACGACGAUUUAUGCAUCCGCUUACAGAGUAAUACUUGACGUCGGAUUAUGGAGUAGCGGUACAAUCUGUUUAAUUGUCACUGAAGGCCGUCCAAUAGAAUGGAGGGAAGGAGAAGUGUAAUACGGAAGUGCACAUCUAACCUCGACAGGUCCGAUGGGUCAGUGAAAGGAACGGGUCGGAAAAGGGGAUGGCCCCCAAUCUAGGCAUCUAUUAAACCUGAAACAAGCACCCAACAAUGUGGUUCGAUAAGACAUGAAUACGACAACAAUGGAGACGGUGUCUCAAAUGGGGGGGGAGGACCAAUUCAUAAUGCCUCAUUAGAAUAUAUGGAUGGUAUCACUUGCAGUUGACUGCAAGUUUGAGUGCAUACCCAUCCCUCGUACCGUCUUCACACCAUACGUUCAUAGGAAUAAGGCUGUUGAAAACGUAAAAGUUUCCAUUUCAAUUGGCAUUUUUUACCUUGUGCUACUUUAUCUGCAAUGAUUAUGGAAUAUUUCGCUUUUGAACAUGCUACUAACUCAAUCUGUUAAUUUGUGUAAUCCCGGUGUCCAGCACAACGGCCAUUUCACUAAUAAGGCAGAUUGCUGGAAUGACAUAAAUUGCGCAAAACCGCUCUCUACAAGCGAGGGACCAACUACUAAAUGUCGUCCGUUCUCAUGUGAAUUGGGAUUCAAUGGUGGCAGCAAGUGGUAACAUAUUUCAUUAAAUUCAUUGUGACUUACAUACUCCAAUGUCAAUGCCAUAGGAAAAGAUUGUUUCCAACAAGGACAAUGAGAUAUCAUGCCUUCGCUCAAGUAUAUUGAGUCAGUUAAUUUUGUACCGGUCAUUUUAAUAAAAUCAACUACGUCACAAAUAUACGUGCGAAUGCUGCCAUUAAUAACAGUUCGCUACAAACUGCAGGAACAAUUGGAAACUCAGAAGUCAACUACUCCCCGACUGCAAGGUGGUAUCUAUCGUGCAAAUGAAACGGGACGAACAAUUACUACAGAAUUUGAGGAGCUGAGGCACGAAUUAGGCUAAAAUUUCAAUAAUGUCAGCGUUCCUCAACAAGAAGGGAAGGUGCCAACUGAGAUUAUUAAUGAGGAAUGCGAUAGGAAGCAAGAUUCUUCAUUGAAUGCCCUCCACACAGGGUUUGCAUCAGACAGUGAGGAGGAAACGGACACGGAUGAUUCUUCACAUAACCAACAUGUUGGACGUAAUAAAACAUUUGUUCAAAGUGACAUUACAACAACCGGGGAUGUUGGUCUCGCUUUCCAUGAAGUUGCAACACAGACUAAAUAUCAAUCACAUUCAGACAGGCUGCUAAACAUCAUAUAUGCCACGAGAAAUAUAACCCGUUCUGCUUGAUGUUGUAGCUCAGAUUGUUAACUUGAAAAUUUUCUUCUUCAUAAUUCCAGUGUUGUUUCCAACAA